UAAGGAAUAUUGGACAAUGGGCGGAAGCCUGAUCCAGCCAUGCCGCGUGAAGGAAGAAUGCGCUCAGCGUUGUAAACUUCUUUUGGAUGGGAAUAAUAACCUCUACGCGAUAGGGGCUUGAAGGUACCAUCAGAAUAAGCACCGGCUAACUCCGUGCCAGCAGCCGCGGUAAUACGGAGGGUGCAAGCGUUAUCCGGAAUCACUGGGUUUAAAGGGUGCGUAGGCGGUUCGGUAAGUCAGUUGUGAAAUC
rnacentral:rRNA from 1 species